rnacentral:rRNA from 1 species
CCUACGGGAGGCAGCAGUGGGGAAUAUUGCACANUGGUCUCCAGCCUGAUGCAGCGACGCCGCGUGAGGGAUGACGGCCUUCGGGUUGUAAACCUCUUUCAGUANGGAAGAGGCGAAAGUGACGGUACCUGCAGAAGAAGCGCCGGCUAACUACGUGCCAGCAGCCGCGGUAAUACGUAGGGCGCAAGCGUUAUCCGGAUUUAUUGGGCGUAAAGAGCUCGUAGGCGGUUUGUCGCGUCUGCCGUGAAAGUCCGAGGCUCAACCUCGGAUCUGCGGUGGGUACGGGCAGACUAGAGUGAUGUAGGGGAGACUGGAAUUCCUGGUGUAGCGGUGAAAUGCGCAGAUAUCAGGAGGAACACCGAUGGCGAAGGCAGGUCUCUGGGCAUUUACUGACGCUGAGGCGCGAANGCGUGGGGAGCAAACAGGAUUAGAUACCCUGNUAGUCCACGCCGUANACGAUGAGUGCUAAGUGUUANGGGGUUUCCGCCCCUUAGUGCUGCAGCUAACGCAUUAAGCACUCCGCCUGGGGAGUACGGCCCCAAGGCUGAAACUCAAAUGAAUUGACGGGG